CGCUCGCGGACCAGGCCCGCCCCCACCCGUGCCCGGCCCCAUCACGUUGGCUGCAGAGCGCAUCCCGACUGCGCCCUGGCGAGGAGGCGCCGGGGUAGCUAAGGGGAGCGGGUCACGUGAGAGGAGGAGUCUGACCUACUUUGGAAGGCGCAUGCGUACUUCCCCUCUGAGCGCCGGCGGAGAAGCUCACAUGGAAUCGCACGUGCUGGGUCCUAGGGCCUGGGCUCUGGCGGGGCGUGCUCUAGUCCCUGCCAGAUGGAAAGAUGGGCUCCCGCUUGUGUGAAAUGUCGCCUUAGAAGGGCAGUCAUUACAUCACUGACUUGCUGAAGAUGGGAAACUCUCUAAAUGUCCAACAAACAAUAAGUCUGGUCAAGUACACAGAAACAUAAGUGAUGAUUGCGCUGUAUUUGGAAUUCUUUGCAGUUACGAAAUGGACAGACAGCUCCAUAGACCCCGACAUGAAGAGACCACUAAAUUCACUGUGACAUAAAUAAAUGAAUAAAUAAAUAAAAUGGAGCAGGAUAGUGUGUGUGGGGUGCUAACUCUUAUGUGGUAGAUAUAUUUGUAACUAUACACAAAAAUAAAUAUAUAAUUAUGUUUGUAAAUGUAUCUAUACAAAAUAUACACAUGUGUAUUUGUAAAUGUAUCUAGACAAAAUACAAAUAUAUAUAUGUAUAUUUGUGAA